GGGUUCAGAACAGAGAACGUGCUCUGAAGGUAAAAAAGAAGGAUAGCCGGGCUGCUACCU
rnacentral:ncRNA from 1 species